ACUUGAAAACUUCACAGAACACCAGCUU
rnacentral:piRNA from 1 species